CUUCCAUGUUAGAUUAUCUGUCACAAAAGUUUGGACACAUCUUCCCGUUUGCUUGAAUGAGAAUGUGUGUCCAAACUUUUGGCUGCUACUGUAUCUGGUUUUAUUUUAUAGGUGUUUAUUUCCUCUGUUUUGCUUUCUGGUUGAUCAGGAUGUAAUUAAAGCUGUAAUUUCCAUGUUUUUAAUGAAGAAUAAACCUCCUCACAGCCUUGUUCUCUCUGGAAACAGACGUCAUGGAGGCGGCAGCCGUCAGAUUGACUCGUCUGGAUAUAUUACCUUCAUAAUGGCUGCAGGAGCUCUAACAUUGUCUACUUCACAAGCGCUGACGUGCUGUAGAUCCUGUUUCAGACUAACAGCUCGUCACUCUGCAGUCAGUCAGACAGGACGCUGAUAUUCAGACUAAAACAUCCUCCAGAGUGUGUAAAUGUGAAAAUGUCGCCUUGGCGUUGUUUGUAGAAACUAGAGAUGUGCAGAG